GGAGAGGUGGCAGAGUGGUAAUGCAGCAGCCUGCUAAGCUGUCAACGUUUUUCGUUGCCCGGGUUCGAAUCCCGGUCUCUCCG
rnacentral:tRNA from 1 species